CUCAUAUACAUGGAGAUUGUUUAACCAUGUAACUCAGUUAUGGUUCAUUGACUUUGAAUGUUUGCAUAACUUGUGUAAGAUAUUAAAGUAUUGCUAUUUUGAUUUCAACAUUUGCAUAAUUAAAUUACAAAAAGGCGAGACAUAUCUCUGUGAUAACAGUUUAUUAAUAUAUGGUUUAAAACAUAUAGGGCUAUUCAAAAUUAUUUUUUAUCAGAGGUUGAAAGGCACCAAGGCACCUGAUAUUAAAAAUGAUGGGAUAGUGGAAAUCAAAAUACUUUUUAAGCACCUCCAACAGUGGAUGGGGGUAUUAAGUGUGACCUUCGUCCGUUAGUCCCAAAAUUAGUUUCUGUUCUCUGACUUUAGUUUGCUUCAAACAAAUGUUAUGAAAAGUAUACACAGUUGCUAUCAUUUGUUAGGUUUGGACAUGCAGUAGAAUACUUCAUCUAUUUAAUCUUUAGAAAUUGCAAUGGAUACCAAAAUUUAGU
rnacentral:lncRNA from 1 species